AGGGGUGAAAGGCCAAUCAAACUCAGCGAUAGCUGGUUUUCCGCGAAAUCUAUUUAAGUAGAGCGUUCUAUAAGAAGUAAAUUAGGGGUAGAGCUCUCGCUAGAUUAGGGGGAAUUUAUAUUCUUACCAACUCUAAUGAAACUACGAAUACUAAAUUUAAUCCGUAGAGCAGACAGACAUUGGAUGCGAAGGUCUUUUGUCAAGAGGGAAACAGCCCAGAUUAAUCAUUAAGGUCUCCAAUAACAAUUAAGUGAAAAAUGCUGUGAAUGAACAUUGACAGUCAAUAGGUAGGCUUGGAAGCAGCCAUCUUUUAAAGAAAGCGUAACAGCUCGUUGAUCUAGUUCUUUUGCGCUGAAAAUGUACAGAGACUAAAUUGUUAACCGAAAUGGUAAAUAUAAAAAAUUAUAUGGUAGCGGAACGUUCUGUAGGUCGAAGAAGGAAAGCAGUAAUGUUUUCUAGAGAUAUCAGAAGUGAGUAUACUGGCAUGAGUAGCGUUAAACAAAGUGAAAAACUUUGUCGCCGUAAGCCCAAGGGUUUUGAAGCAAGGCUAAUCCUCUUCAAAUGUAAAAUUAUUUUUACUAUAAAAAGACGGCCCCUAAGUUGUAACACGAAAGUGUUAGAUAAUGGGAAAUCAAUUCUUUUUUAGAGUGACGAAGAUAAACAAUUAUAAGAAUAGAACUUUUCUUGUUUUUUAUAUCGUCCAAGAAAAAGCUCUAAAAUAAAAUAAAACCGUACUUUAAACCGACACAGGUGGGCGGGUUGAGUAAACUCAGGCGCUUGAGAGAAUUUUGUUGAAGGAACUCGGCAAAUUUGCCCUGUAACUUCGGGAGAAAGGGUGACUUAUUUUGGGCAACCAGAAUAAGUUGGCACUGAAAUGAAGGAGGUAACUGUUUAAUAAAAACUCAAGUCUCUGCUAAUUUGUAAAAAGACGUAUAGGGGCUGACACCUGCCCGGUGCUGAAAAGUUAAGUAGUUUAAGUUGUGGCUUGAACUAUAAUCUCCAGUAAACGGCGGCCGUAACUCUGACGGUCCAAAGGUAGCGAAAUUCCUUGUCGGGUAAGUUCCGACCUGCAUGAAUGGUGUAAUAACUUCCUUACUGUCUCCAACAAAAACUCAGUGAAAUUGAAUUAUCCGUGAAGAUGCGGAUUUCUUACAGCUAGACGGAAAGACCCCGUGCACUUUUACUAUAAGUAUUUAUUGCAAGAUUUUAUUAGAUGUGUAGAAUAAGUGGGAGUCGUUUGUAAAUCUCUACGUUAGUAGAUUAUUAAGACUUACGUGAAAUACCACUCUUUUAAUAAAGGCUUGCUAAUUUUAAUUAAAGACAGUUUAUACUGGGUAGUUUAGCUGGGGCGGCUGCCUCCUAAAGAGUAACGGAGGCGUGCAAAGGCAAGUUCAAACAACAAUCGUUGUUGUAGAGUGUAAUGAUAUAAGCUUGCUUGACUGUAAGAUUGAUAAAUCGAGCAGGGAUUAACGUCGGCCAUAGUGAUCCGGUGAUUUAAUGUGGAAUAGUCAUCGCUCAACAAAUAAAAAGUACGCCGGGGAUAACAGGCUGAUGCCUCUCUAGAGCUCUUAUCGACAGAGGCGUUUGGCACCUCGAUGUCGGCUCAUCACAUCCUGAAGCUG
rnacentral:rRNA from 1 species